rnacentral:rRNA from 1 species
AUUGAACGCUGGCGGCAGGCCUAACACAUGCAAGUCGAGCGGAUGAGAGGAGCUUGCUCUUCGAUUCAGCGGCGGACGGGUGAGUAAUGCCUAGGAAUCUGCCUAGUAGUGGGGGACAACGUUUCGAAAGGAACGCUAAUACCGCAUACGUCCUACGGGAGAAAGUGGGGGAUCUUCGGACCUCACGCUAUUAGAUGAGCCUAGGUCGGAUUAGCUAGUUGGUAGGGUAACGGCCUACCAAGGCGACGAUCCGUAACUGGUCUGAGAGGAUGAUCAGUCACACUGGAACUGAGACACGGUCCAGACUCCUACGGGAGGAAGCAGUGGGGAAUAUUGGACAAUGGGCGAAAGCCUGAUCCAGCCAUGCCGCGUGUGUGAAGAAGGCCCUCGGGUCGUAAAGCACUUUAAGUUGGGAGGAAGGGCUUACAGCGAAUACCUGUGAGUUUUGACGUUACCGACAGAAUAAGCACCGGCUAACUUCGUGCCAGCCGCCGCCGUAA